rnacentral:lncRNA from 1 species
ACAGAACUGGAGGAGGAGGAAUCUCAGCAUUUGCCCUGCUCUGUCUGCAUGAGGCCAGAGAGCAACCUGACCAGAGUUGACAAGCGGGAAGACAGGUGGCAAGUGACACCCUGCUCCUGUUGUCGUAAUAGUGAAGGAGAACGCUGCAUUUCUGCGGGUGUCAUAGCGACUCCCCCGGGGAGCAAUCAUGCUGCGCCCGAGGCUUAGAGCCUCACAGCGAGGGGCUGGGAGCACCCAAGAGGAGGGACUGACAUGGGAGAGAUGGAGCCAUGCGUGUUGGUGACACUGGACCCGGACUCCGUCCUGGCGACCCGACCUGGGACUCUCAAAGGUGAUUCAGAGAUUC